rnacentral:rRNA from 1 species
UGGGGAAUAUUGCACAAUGGGCGCAAGCCUGAUGCAGCCAUGCCGCGUGUGUGAAGAAGGCCUUCGGGUUGUAAAGCACUUUCAGCGGGGAGGAAGGCGAUAAGGUUAAUAACCUCAUCGAUUGACGUUACCCGCAGAAGAAGCACCGGCUAACUCCGUGCCAGCAGCCGCGGUAAUACGGAGGGUGCAAGCGUUAAUCGGAAUUACUGGGCGUAAAGCGCACGCAGGCGGUUGAUUGAGUCAGAUGUGAAAUCCCCGGGCUUAACCCGGGAAUUGCAUCUGAUACUGGUCAGCUAGAGUCUUGUAGAGGGGGGUAGAAUUCCAUGUGUAGCGGUGAAAUGCGUAGAGAUGUGGAGGAAUACCGGUGGCGAAGGCGGCCCCCUGGACAAAGACUGACGCUCAGGUGCGAAAGCGUGGGGAGCAAACAGG